rnacentral:rRNA from 1 species
GAUGAACGCUAGCUACAGGCUUAACACAUGCAAGUCGAGGGCAGCAUGGUCUUAGCUUGCUAAGACUGAUGGCGACCGGCGCACGGGUGAGUAACACGUAUCCAACCUGCCGUCUACUCUUGGACAGCCUUCUGAAAGGAAGAUUAAUACAAGAUGGCAUCAUGAGUCCGCAUGUUCACAUGAUUAAAGGUAUUCCGGUAGACGAUGGGGAUGCGUUCCAUUAGAUAGUAGGCGGGGUAACGCCCACCUAGUCUUCGAUGGAUAGGGGUUCUGAGAGGAAGGUCCCCCACAUUGGAACUGAGACACGGUCCAAACUCCUACGGAGCAGCAGUGAGGAAUAUUGGCAAUGGGCGAGAGCCUGAACCAGCCAAGUAGCGUGAAGGAUGACUG